rnacentral:rRNA from 1 species
UCAGGCUGAAGAACCUUACCCGAUUAGCUGAGAGGUGGUGCAUGGCCGUCGUCAGUUCGUACUGUGAAGCAUCCUGUUAAGUCAGGCAACGAGCGAGACCCACGUCCACAGUUGCCAGCAUACCCUCCGGGGUGAUGGGUACACUGUGGAGACCGCCGCUGCUAAAGCGGAGGAAGGAGUGGGCAACGGUAGGUCAGUAUGCCCCGAAUCUCCCGGGCUACACGCGGGCUACAAUGGUUGGUACAAUGGGCAUCUACCCCGAAAGGGGAAGGAAAUCUCUUAAAGCCAAUCGUAGUUCGGAUUGAGGGCUGCAACUCGCCCUCAUGAAGCUGGAAUCCGUAGUAAUCGCGUUUCAACAGAACGCGGUGAAUACGUCCCUGCUCCUU